rnacentral:lncRNA from 1 species
GGGCGUGGGGUGGGGGGAGCGGGGGAGGGUGGGGGCCGGGCCGGGGGGGGCGGGGGCGCGGCUUUGUGGCGGCAGCGGACCGUGGAGGCCGGGUGCAGCCCGUCGGCUCCGCGCGCUCUGCAGAAAAGGAUUUGCUACGCCCCCCGCCCAUCACUUGGAUCUUAUCUGGGGAGGGGUGGGAUUUUUUUCUGGAAGUCUCCCCCCGGCCCCGGUGGAGGAUUUGAGGCUGGGCUCCAAUCGAGGCGGAGGCUGCAGGGCCCGCGGGGCGCCCCCGCCCCGCGCACGCCUCCCCGGAGCCCUGGAAGGCGCAGCCCCGGGGGACCCCCCUGCACCCCGGGAGGUGGCAGCGGCGGAUUCUCCAAGAUCCUGCCUCAGAGGCAGCCCGUCCCGGUGCUGUGAGCUGUGCAGGGGAGUUCUCGAAAGGGUGGACCCAGAAUGGAAAGGAGGUUUUCGAGUCUGUGGUCCCAGAAUCGGGGUUUUGAGGGCGAGAUGAGUUUAUGUUUUAUCCAACUGGCCCACAAAGUCCCGCUUUUGGGGUCAUUCCAAACAGCGAGGGAUUCAGGCCCCAGCAGUCCCUGGAGAGUGAAGGCAGAGCUAACACCCCCCGGGCUGCAAGGCUCAAAGUCGGUUGGAGAAACGGGGGGGAGGUUUGCUACUUUUGGUAAAAGUGAAAGGCCAUUUGGGGGUGAUAUUCUUCCAUACGUGUGUACAGGGUGUGUGUGUUCUCAGUUUGUUGAACCUGCUAUGUUUUCAAGGGCCUCUUUCCUUGGGAGGCCAAAAUGAGAUGCGAGACGGCGAAAGUACACAUUUCUUUUUCUGCCCAGUGGUUUAAGGAGAUGUUCUAGCGGACUGGUGUCGUGGGAAUGGGUGGCACAUGGGUUGUGUCAAAGCAUGUGACACCCCCAAAAUCAAACACCGCUGAAAUCGUGAAUCCUGAUUGCAUUUGGUCUGUCUUUGCAUUUGUCAAAGGAGGAACUCUCUUCUUGCUUCCACGUGGAAUUGCAAUAUUUCUUUGCAAUUCUUUGCGGUCUCGCUCUAAAUCCUUUUAUGAGAAAGUCUGGAUAGGUGUUCACAGGGAAUUUUCUAAGGGAAGGAUGUUGGGGGGCCAGUGCCCCUCCCAGAACAUUAACCUUAUUAAGUUGUAUUAAUUUACACACACACACACCCUGCCCUCCGGUUUUAACCUAUCUAGACAUCCACAUACCUUAAGUUUAUUUAUUUGCAAACCAAGAUUUCAACUAAUUGUUCGCCGCAGAAAAUAGAAAAGCCAGCUGUACCUGCGAAACUUUUGAACACAGAGCCCUUGAUAUAAGAUUCAGUGUUUAAAAGACAUGGUACAUGUACCCACAGAUGACAUUGGUGCUCCCGAAUCCUUGGCAAAAACAGUUCUUGACUUCCAGAAUUCUCUCUCUUUGUUAUGGGUCACGAUGAAACAGCACAAUUUUCAGGAGUCCACAAUUCCAGCGUGGCGAGGGGCGAUUGUCACGUUGUGAAAUAAAUUGUUUGCCUUUUGCUGAAUCGUCACCCCAUGAUAGCACACGAGAGCUGACUGUCAGCUUCUAUUUGCUUUGCUAAAGAAGGAUAUCUCACCAAAUUAGCCUUUAAUGAUACUUCUCCAAAUGGGGUGUCUUACGUGAAUUAACGAGGCCGGAACGCUGAAUGUUGCACCGAGAUUCGGAGCUGUAAUCGAGGCGGUGAAGCUCUAUGUUAAAAUUACGGAAUUGUUAAGUGUGGAAAAUCAGACAGAAUUUAGUGCUGUAACGCAUGCAAGCAUUCGCAACAGUACAGGCAUUUCUUAUAUUCAGCCCUCUGAAACCGUGCAUGUAAAUAUGAAUACAUUUAGCAAACUUCCCCCCCGCCCCCCACCGAGUCUGGAAACAGGCAAAGUAGUAUGGGGAAGAGAUUAUAAAUCAGUACUUUGCAGUGAGAAGUCAUCGUUAAUUCGGCAGAGAAUCACAGCCUCCUUUUAUAUUCUCCCCACCACCCCCCAACCAAUAAGGAAAAAAACCCCAACUCAGCGUGGAACUGCUAAAUACACUGAAUACAUUCGGGCUUUUCUCCUUUCGCCUGUGUGUGAAAUUUCAUUAAGCAGUUGCUAUUUUUUCCCUCCAAAGAAGUGGGGAUUUAGGAAAAAAAAAUAGCAACUUUGAAUUUAGUUCUUUAUGAUACACAAGCCAUGGGGAAAAAAUGUUUUGAUCAAAAAGCCGGGGGAAAAUAUUUAGAGGUGAGACUGCAAUGAAACUCAUACUUCCUUAAAAAUAAAACAUGCGUUUGUGACUCAAACCAAUGAGAGUUGGAAAAGUCCCUACAAGGGAGCACUCCCUCUAUUUCUAGCUUCCCAGCACAACCUCUCCUCCCCCACCUUAUAUUAAGAACAGAAAAGAGAGUCUUGCCGGAUAAACGUACACUUCCUAGCAGGAGAUCUGCUCCCCCUGGUUUAAUUGGGAUUGAGGAGUAAAUACAGCUAUUUUAGGCAGAAGGAUAGAAAUUAGUCUGAUGAAGAGUAAAGCGAACUCAUGCCUUAGAAUCACUUGCCAGAAAAGAAGUGCAUACACAAACCGAAUAAAACAUUGUUGAUCAGAGUUCAUUUCAGCUAGAAGUUUCUUUCCUGCCCAGCGUCCCAAACUCGGGAAAAUGUAAAAAGUUCUUUUGGCUUCUUGUAUUUGGAGCAAGGUGAAAAUAAACCCCCAGGAAAAACACCGACACAAACAUGAUAGAAACGACCCGAGACUUUUCAGGCCUACUGGCCACGCAGGCUUUUUGGACAAAAGCGUGGAUGUUGGAGAGAGUUUGGAAGGAACGGACUUUGGGGUCCCUCCGUCCCCCGGAGCUCCCCAGCCCUCCUCGUGGUCUCUUUUCAAAGCAGCCACUCAUGGGAUGCUGUGUUCUCAGGGUCCUUGGUUGUAGGGGGCAUGAGCACAGAUUUACAAAGCUUUAAGGUUUCUGAUUUUACCUCAUCUUCCUUAUAGAAAACAUCUGAGCUUAAGGAACCACAGAGCAAACUUUCUCAGUGCCCCUGCAUGGCUACACCACCACGUGAAAGAGAGACACACCUAGAAAAUCAAAACUGGUGUUGGUGUCACAAGAAAGCCAUUUAAAAAAUGCGUUGGGGAGAGGGGGGCCGAUUUCGCCUUUCCUGGACGAAUUGGCCCCGGCAGGGAAAGGAGUGCUGGCUGCAGCUGGAAGUUCGCUGUGCGGCCUGGGGUGGAACUUUCUCGGAGACGUGCAGAGAACUGGGCUCUGUCGGGAUCAUGCAUGAGAUCGGCACCCAGGCCUGUUGACAUCUCUGCCAGAGACAGCCUGGACCGCUGCCAGCCCAGGCCUGAACGUGGCCUUAGAGCCACCCCCACAGCCCCAACAAGCCCCAGACAGGUGCCCAAGGGUCUCUCCUCCUAGAGCCCAGCCCACAGCAUGUCUUGGCUAGAAGGGGGAUGUUUGGCUCCCAUGGCAGCCUCCCCAGAGACGCGGCAGGGUUUACUAUCCCGGUUACCCUGUGGGCUCUGGUGAGGAGGAACCCCACUUUGCUAAGCAGUGCCUCCCAGAUGCUCCGAGGGAGACAGAUGUGGCCGUCCUGCGAGCUCAGAGCAGAUCCGCCUGUGCAAGGGCAGAUGUGAGUCUAGAAGGCUCUGGAGCAGAGCUGUACAUUUGCAGCCCAGGCUAGAGCUCUCUCCGCUCUCCAGCAACAGGGCUGCGAUCCUUCCUUUUGGGAUGGGCCGAGGGGGCGUGGCCCGGGGCCAGCAACAGAGCACGUACACAUCGGAGCUCCCGUGUGCAACUCCCCUGAGUGUGUCUGCGCCUCUUUCCAGCCAGCGGGGCUCCAACCGACCCAGCCAGGGAGCUGAGCCCUCUUCUGUCAUCAGGCAGUGAGGAAAACCAGGGCCAGGAGGGCAGGGGUGCAGCCUUGAAGUGGGAGAAGGCAUGGAGGGCCAUCAGAGGGCCUGCUGGGCAGAUGAGGGGACCUGCAUCCGAGCCACCCUGGGGGGCGGCCAGGGUAGCAUGCAGCCAGCAGCCGGCUCUGCCCCAGCCCCAGAAUGUGCCCGCUCAGGGAAGCUGCGCCCAGCCCUGAGUCAGCCGAUCCCACGGGACUCCCACUUGGCCCCAAUAACUGGACUCCAGGCCACCAGAAGGCCUCGUGGGUUCCUGAUUGUAUCAGAAUGGCAUUAAAAGGUCCAGACCGGGCACUCAUAGGCCAUGCCAUAUUUAGCCUCAGGUUCACCCGGAGAAUAUUUUAGGUGCUGCUUGAAAGAGGAGAUCUCGGCCCAUUGCCGGCUGUCACAUGGAGAGUGUAGACUCGCUCCCUCACAGGCCUGGUGGAGGUGGCUGGGUGCUCACUGGCACAGAUGCCCGCAGUCCCUGCCAGAGCUUUGGGGCCAUGAGACAGGUGCCAAGGAGCCAGCGAGCGCCUGGGUAGCCGGUUCUGUGCCGGGAAGGCUGCUCGCCCCGUUUUCGUCCUGACGGCGAUAAGCUCGCUCCAUUCACAGGACUCACAGAGGCUGUUUCAGGCCCUCUCUCCUCUCGAUGGCCCAGUGCGAUAUGCCAGCUUGCUGAGUGAGCAGCUUCCUCCUCCGGUGUCAGCAACUGCGGAGGGGUUAACCCUUUCAAGGCCCGGGGUGCUGGCUGGCAUGGGGGUCCCGCCUCCAGGGCCCUUGAAGGCCACAUGCCAGGGGGAGCCACUGCCCUGGAUGCCUUAAUCCUCCAUCGUUAGUGGCCAGACCAGAGAGAGGGCACCCUGGACCUUAACUGUGAUUUCCUCCUUUGGCCCCAGCAGCAGCACUAACCGCCAGGCUGCCCUACCCAAACCUUCGCCCUUCAGCCGUGGAAACAGCUGCUUGCUUUGCAGAUACUUUCCCCUGGGUUUCCAGGUUCAUUAACUUUCCUGCAUUCCGGAGGAGGAGGUAUUGAUGGAUUCGGGGUCCCCUUAGAUCAUUAAUGAGAGUUCGGAAUCAUCAUUUGGGGUCUUGGGGAAAUGUUCCAGGUCCCUAAGAGUUGCCUGGUGUUAGGGAAUCAGCCUUGGAAGCUGGUUUUCCAGGUCUUGGUUGUCUGGGCACAGCGGAGGCGGCCGUAUCAAAGCCACUGUGUGGAGGAGACACAUUGAGCCAAUGAUCAGCCAGUAAUUCUCAGCCUUGGGGGAGCCUGGUGGGGCCGCCAUACACUGUGAUAGCGUUGCUUGGUUUAAAGGUUCCUCUAACUUUGCGCACUUUUUCCUUUUUAGUUUUGGCUCUUGGGACUCUGAGAGCCACCCCUUCCUGCCCGGCUGGCUCGUUACCGCAGGGAAAAUGAGGGACUUUUGGGGGCAGAUGUGUUUCCAUUCCACUAUCAUAAUGCCCCUAAAAAUCCUUAUUGCUCUUGCAGUAUUCUUCGGGGGUCCCUGGGCCAGCCGGGCGCGUGGGGAAGACGGCAGCUCUGAGUGCCUCCAGCAACUAGAAGAAGAGAGAAAGAAGUUCCCCCACAUUCUCCCUUCUGGUCCCUGGUCCAUCUCCCCUCAGAGCUCAGAACUGUUCACUGCCCGAAAAGUAAAAAGACACCAUCCACAGACACUGGUGGCUCAACGUGCCUUUUGCCCUCCGGGGGCAGAAUGUUGGAGAUCAGGCCUGGGAACAGCAGGGCAGCUGUGGCUGCUGUCAGCGUUUGCUCUGGGGGUUUGUCAGGGGAGGUGGGGAAAGUGGAAGAGAAACAAGUGUUACCUGUUUGACGAGGCAGGCGUAUUUCACCGUUCAGCCUGGUCCUUCCAGUGGGGCCUCUGGGAUCCUCACCUUGGCAGGGGGCCCUGGGCAGUCCUGGCUUGCUCACCUGCUCCUGAGACAGGCCACUUUCCCACUCUCUGCCUCGGUUUCCCUGUCUGCCAAGGGAGGGGCAGCACCCCAUGCUCUUGGCCUCAAAGGGUUCUUGGUUGUACCCAACAUUAUAAUGAGCUCAAGUGAUACGCAAGCUCCGAAGCUGCUUGGAAAAUGGGGAAGUCAAGUUAUUAAACAUGGGAGGUGUUGGUGCUAAUGUUUACUAAUACACACCUAACGUGCUGAGACAGUUCAGACAGGAGGGGAGACUGUCGCCCAACAGUGUAAGCACCGGUUUCUGGAAUCAGCCAGUCAGAACUCUGAGACUCUUUUGCUGUGUCACCCCAGGCAAGUGACUCAACCUCUCUGGGCCUCCAUUUCCUCACACAUGAAACCCACGUUUUGGAACAGAAGUUUGCCAAGUCUGAUAUGCACAUCUACUCAAUGAGUUUAAGUGGUACCUGGCUAAAGAUGGAAAUUAUUCUCAUAGGUAUUUCUUUGUACAGCUUAUCUCUAUUUAUGGCAAGCAGUUUGUUUUCGGUUUAGGGUAGGGAUAGAAAGGCCUUUUUUUAUACCAAUUUAUGCAGGUAAAGAUAGAUGAGUUGCUGGAAAGAAAAGCAUUAAGCAAAUAAUAAUACAGGUGGCCUGAGGAUGGGGCAGAAAUCAAGAUGCCAGUUUGCAAAGUUUCAUACGUCGGCUUACUUAAGAAUUCUUGUUUGUCUUGGGAGUUUUGCAUCCACAUAGUUGGUGUGGGGAGGAGAUGGGUGGGUUGCUAAUUCAAAUCUCUGGAGGGCUCCACCAUGAUAGUCUGAGUGUCACAAGUCUUCCCUUCUCGGGGGGAUGGGAGGGGGCCCACCUCUCUGCUCACCGAUGCCAGGGAGACCCCUCAGACCUCCAGCCCUGCACUGACCCCUAGCUUUGACUUGUCUCAUUUUAGGAUCACGAUGACCCAGUGCCCUCCUUCCUGGCCAGGGCACCUCUCUGGGCCUCAGUUUUCUCAGUGAAAUGGGGAGAAUAACAAACUCUGUCCCAUAGCUGUGUGUGAAGAUGGAAGGGUUAACAGGGCUCCAUCGGGCGCUGAUCCUUCACAAACAGCACCCACUCGGAGGGCAGUGGGCCCCAGCGGCGCUGGACACGCGGGGGGCGCUCCUUCCACAGGCCACCCUGCGCCACCCGGCACCAGCUCCCUGCCCACCCCCUGGGAGGGUGGCUUUGCAGGGAAACAGCAGGCAGCCAGCAGGGGCGGACUCUGGUUUCACUUUCUGCUGUGUCAUGGAGUCGGGGGUGGCAUCGGGGCCCAGCUGGCCAGCUGGGGCGGGCACCGAGAGGCCAGCGGACAGCUGCCGGCCCAGCUGCCAGAGCACAAGCCGCGCCCCCCUGCGGCCUGCCAGGGUGGGGGCUGGGUCCUCGGGUGCCCCUUAAGGGCCUCUCCUCCCACACGGUGGGGAGAACCCCAGGCGAGAAAAGCCAGGAGCGGGUGAGAUCGUUUCUUGAGCUGUGGGAUCCCCCAAAAGCAACUUCUCAAGUCACGCAGCCUUGAAGUUCUGAGAAGUGCAGCUGUGGGUUCUGGAUCAGGGUGUGCUGGCUGGACACCUGCUCCCUGCCUCCCUUCACUGGGCACAUGGUGGGUGAGGGCCUACUGUGUGCUAAGCAGUGUGCCAGGUGCCGGGGGUACAACAGGGAGCAGGACAGCCCCUGCCCUCAUGGGGCUCCCAGUUAAGUCUGGGAGAUGGACAAAAGAGCGAGCAAGAGAGAAUCCCGCGUUAUGGGGGAAAUUCCAGCCUGAACGUCUGGUGCUAGCAUCUCAGGGCAGGGGCGUGCCUGCGUAUGCACCUAUGUGUGUCAGCAACGUGUCACCUCCUGGGACACAACGCCACAGGUCUGAGUAAAUCCUGCUCGCAGCUUCCGGGUUUGUAGACAGCCAGCGUGGAUCUCAAAGCAAAGGCCCAAUUUACGACUGAGGUCGGUCUCAGCAGUGAGCUUAGAAGCAGCAAAGCCAGGAGAAGGCUCCAGAGGAGCGACUGCCCAGUGUUCUUCCAAAAGGUUGUAUCAUUCACACGCCCAUCAACGGUGUACGUGCUGUUUCCAGCACCCUCGCCCAACCUGGCAAAGACGCGGUGUGUCAGGGGAAGCAAAUCCUAAAUGAGCUGCGGAGAAACCUGCCAGUAAUUUCAGCAAAUGAAACGUGGGCCGCAGAAAGGCCAGAGGAUGGAAGAUGCUCCGGUUUUGACAAAAGGAGGUCUGCUCAGCUUGGAAUCCUCUCUCCUGUGAGUCAGGAGAUGGAAAGCUAUAUCCAGAGGGGCUGAUGAAUUGAGAGAAAAAAGAAACGAGGCCAGUGUGAGUCGCCUUUCAAGGGCUGUGCUAAUAUAAAACCAAACAACUUGAAAUUGUUCCAAGAGGGGAUUAAAGCAACAUGUUAUUUUGAGUGACUGCUUAAUUUAUUGAGCUGCGGCUAGAUCUGUAAUGAAAUACAGCCCUUGCAACUGAUAACCUCCCGCUGCAAUUGAACUUCUGCAAUUAAGGAAUAUUUUCCGAGAGUUUUCUCUGGAACAGCUUAGAAUUUUCAGUCUCUGUGGUGGGGUGCUUCUGAGCACUUGUUUUCCAGGCGAGCUUUUGGGUUUUUUUCCUUAAAGAAUGACGGGCUGACGUUAAUAAGGAAAAUAAGCUGCAAUUUACUGAAUGCCUUGUGUGCACCAGAUGCUUAAUAUACAUUACCUCUAAUCCUGACAACAGCCCAAUGAAGUAAUUUUUAUUAGGCCCUGUUUUAUAGACAUGAGGCUCCUAGAUGUUAGGUAAUUUUCCAGAGUGGCGUUGUCCAGGAUGGUAGCUACUGGCCACUUGUGGCUAUUUAUGUGUAAAUUAGUUAAAAUUUUAAAAAUCUAAAUAUUCGCUUCCUAGGUAGCACUAGCAACUGGUUCAAGUGCCCUACCUGUAUGUGGCCAGCGGCUAGCACAUUGGACAGCACAGAUGCAGGCCAUCUCGAUGACUGUAGAAAGUUCUGUUGACGAGUGCUGUUCCACAGAUCCCACAGGUAGAAAUUGGCAGUGCCAGGGUUCAAAACCAAGCUAAUGGGGUCCCAAGGCCACCUCUGCUAGCAUUAACCCUCUCUUCCUUCUGCUUUGGCUGAAAAGCAGUGAUUCUGAACCUGGCUGCACAUUAAAAUUACCUGGAUGCUUUGAAAACAAUAUGAUGUUAGGGUCCAGCCCCAGAGAUCCUGACUUCAUUGUGAUGGUGGGGGUGGGGACAGGCAUGAGGGUUUUUCUGAUUCCCUGUGUGACUCAGAUGUGCAGCCGGAAUCAAGAGCAGCUAGAUGAGAGGAUCCACACACAGGCUGGUGGAAGGAGCUGGUACAUCUGCCAUAGAAUGUGGUCCCUUCGGUACCUGCAAUGGGGCUCCCUCCAGGGCCACUUCUGAGCCUCCUCAACAGAGAGUUCAAGUUCAUUUCUGAGGGGAAGACUUAAGCGCCUUCUCACAUGCUUCCUGCUUGAUGGGAGACACGAUGAGGAGCUCUGCCUUUAGAAACAGGCUUUGUCACACUGCCAUGGAAGAAAGGAGAUGAGGAGGGAGGAUCACAAAGGGAAAAACCUCCAGUCCCAAAUCGAACUGGAAGCAUCAGUGUGAACUCAUGCUAUGUUUUGCCUUACGAAAUAAAGCAUGUAUCUCCUAGCUCCGUCCACUGAAAAGGUUAGAAAUAAUGAGCAGUUCAUAGCAUGAGCACCCCCAGCACCCAGGUUAUGGUCUCUAAACGCCACUUCUAACUAGGAAUCAGGGCUCUUUGGAGAUUCAGCAGAUUCCGGGUCUGAGGCAGGAAAUGUGCAAGACGAGCCUGAAACAUCUUGUCACCCAGGUAGCAUGGCAACUGUCAAAGACUUCUGGGGUCAUGUCAAAAAGGAUGCAGGGGACAGCAGGAAGAGGCUCCCACGGGCCAAAGAUGGGACAGUUUGAGCAUCAAGAAUAAUAAUUGCAGUGGACUGAAACAUGUCAUAUACGUCCAAAUCUAUGAGUUCACACUGACACUGAGAGAAACAAACCCAUUGGUCAUCUUUGGAGGAUGUUGGGAAACCAACUCAUUAUUUUGAAAAUUGUCAAUUAAAGGGAGAGAAUCAAGCAUUUACCCUUUCUUGUAUGAACCAUACCUUACAGUAACCAAACGUUGAAAAGUAAAGUUUCUUUUUAUGGAAGUAUUCCAGCUAACAAACAAGGACAGAAGGAUUGAAUUAGUACGCCACCAUUUUGCAAACCCUAAUGGAUAUAGCCGGUGAGCAUCAGUGGCUGCCGACAUCGCAAAGGGACAGCCAGACAUCAAGUGUCUUCAAAUGGAAAUGCAAAACAGCCACUAGGAAGUAGUCAGACAAACACACACACACAAAACAAACGUGAAUCUAAGUGAGCUUCUAGAUCUUACUAUUUACAAGAAAUACAGGGGGGAAAGGGACAUGUGUGACACUAAUAUGGGGCUGCAGUAAGCCAAAUCCAGACUGUAGGACACUCUACAGAACAACCAGCCCAGAGUCUUCAAGUGAGAAAAAGCGAGGGAGGGGCCAGCCUGGUGGCAUAGUGGCUAAGUUCGCUCAUUCCACUUUGGAGGCCCAGGGUUUGCAGGUUCAGAUCCUGGGCGCAGACCUAGCACUGCUCGCUAAACCAUGCUGUGGUGGCAUCCCACAUAAAAUAGAGGAAGAAUGGCACAGAUGUUAGCUCAGCAAUGACCUUCCUCAAGCAGAAAGAGGAAGAUUGGCAAGAGAUGUUAGCUCAGGGCCAAUCUUCCUCACAAAAAAAAAAAAGAAAAAGAAAAAAGGAAGGAGAGAGAACUUAUAGGUUGAGAGAGAUGUAAGAGACAUAUCAACCAAUUGCAAUGGAUGAACCGUAUAUGGAUCCUGAUUUUAACAAACUGUAAAGAAAACAUUUAUGAGAUAACCAGAGAAAUUUAAACAUUGACUAGAUAUAUGCUGAUGUUAAAGCAUUACUGUUAGUUUUAGUAGGGGUGAUGGUGGUGUAAAAAAUUCCUCCCCCUGGGGCCAGCCCUGUGGCAUAGUGGUUAAUUUCGGUGCACUCUGCUUUGACCGCCCAGGUUCACAGGUUUGGAUCCCAGGCGCAGACCUACACCACUCGUCAGCUGUGCUGUGGUGGUGACCCACGUACAACAGAGGAAGACUGGCACAGAUGUUAGCUCAGGGCGAAUCUUCCUCAAGCAAAAAAAAUAAAUAAAUAAAAAUCUCCCCCUCCCUUGUUUUGGAGUCAUACACUAAAAUGCUUGCAAAAAAAAUAAUUGCUGCCUGGAAUUUGCUUCCAAAUAUCUGCGAUGAGGGAGGAGGGGUGGUGAUAGAUGGAACACGAUUGGCCAAGAGUUGGUGAUUGUUGAGGCUGGGGUUCAUUGUACCGCAUACUCUACUCUUGUGUGUGCUUAAAAUUUUUCGUAAUAAAAAUAAAGACCAGCCUUUUCCUUCCUUUCUCUGAAGGGUCUGGGGUUGGUCUGCCCACCCACUGCUGGCAUCUCUGGGGCAAGCCUGGGUAGCAGGUUUCAGAUACAUCUCAUUGCAUACACACACACACACCCUCCUGUCUCCACGGCAACCAGUGAGGUGAGAAAGCAGCAUCCAGAAGGCUCCUGUCCACAUGAGGAUCAGGCCAGGCUGCCAGUGUCAUGCCAGGCCCACCAUCGCUGCCCCCUUUGGGAAAUUCCUAAUCGAAUCUUAGGAAUAGAUGGUCCCCUCACCACAUGUGCCUCCUUGCACCCCUUCCCCAUCCCUCUUGCCCUCCCUGUGAAACCCCAACUAGCAGAGGCCAAUUAGUGGCGAGAACAGGACCCUGAAUCAGAUUCAAGCCCAAAUUCUAACUUUACCACUUAACGGCAAGACCUUCAGCCAUCCUGAGCCUCAAUUUUCUCCCGUGUAAAAUGGGCAUGAUGUGACCUCCGCUAAGUCAAUAAAUCUUUAUUAUAGGGGGACAGUGGCAAAAAGGACCUAGUGUCCACCUCGUGGAAUAGACACUCGGAGGUGAAGGGCCAUCUUAAGAGAGUGUGAGUGCUGUGAUAAAGUACGUAUCAUAAAACUUGAGAUGUAAGGGUGCUUAAUCACAUCCUAAUUUUUUGAAAACUGGCAGUAACUACUUAGGAGAUGUCGUAACUCUCAAUCAUACUUCCUGUUAACCUGAACAUCCACAUUCUCCAACUGCCGAGGAUCCAGCUGUGUCAAAUGCACAGAAUAAUUUCCCUUAACUCAGUGCUCACAUUUCCGUGAGGGGAGUACUAUUAUUCCCAUUUUACGGAGACGGCAGCGAGGCAUGAAGAGGUGAGGGACCUUGCCCGAGGCUGCACUGUGGGUACAUGGUCCUGGCCUCUGUAUUUGGCCCUCUGCACUGAGUAAGCUUUGAAAUGCCGGGGCAUGGCCAGGACAUCAGAACUGCCAAGAGACCAACAGGCUCUCCAGGUCAAACUAUUUUGCAAACUAGGAAACAGUGGCCCAGAGAGACCAAGUAACUUGUCUUGGGCCACACAGCGAAUCAGCGGCUGAAUCUGUGUCCCAGCUGCUUGGGGAGAAGGUGCAGGGAAGCCCCAUGUGGUGAGGGAGCCUGGCUCUUCUGCCCCAUUUAAUCCUGUCCUAGAGUGAGGUGACCAGCCAUCCUGGGGUUUCCUGGGACCGGGGACUUUGAUGCUAAAACCAAGAAAGUUCUGGGCCAAGCAGGAUGAGUUGGUCACGCUGUCUCAUGAUGAGGCGUCUUAAUGGAUGUUCUCUAGGACAUCAGGCCCUGGGAUGGAGCUGGCUGACGAGAACCAUCAACAAGGCCCCAGAGAAGUGCUGAAGUUUCAUGCCUGUGGUCCCCUGGAGCCCCUGACUCAGCAGUGACACAUGAAUGAUGCUCCAUAAGUAGUCAUCCCAUGGACCAACCAAUGCCACCGUCACCUCCGACCCGGCCUCCUGCCGAAAUCACAGAAACCCUUUAUAGCCACCCUGACACCCAGUUCCCAUUUCAGACAGGCUGGUAUCCAUGAUGUCACGUGAUAGAAGAUGAUUCCAGAAAAAGACUGGCCAAGAGGCUCCUGGAGGGAGAGAUGGCAGCCAGGAUUGGGAGGUUUUUUUCUUUAUUAUACCUGUUCUGUCCACUAUUUCCUGGCUCUGUUCACAUCGCUGCUCCAGCACCAGCUCAGGGAAAAAAACGAAACAAAACAUGAGCCCCAGAAUUUGAGACAAGAUAGCUGGCUGGUUUCCUCUCUGCUUGUAAUUAAUGCUGGAAAUGUUCAUGACUUGCCUUGGCCGCAAAGGUAAUAAUAAAAGUCUGCAGCCUGAUUAUUUGGCUACUAAUUCCCUUCUUGGUGUUUUUCUUCCCCUUUCCUUAAAUUACUUCCAGAGUUCGUCCAGAUUUCUCGUUGCUAAGCUGUAAAGUUCCG